rnacentral:rRNA from 1 species
UACGGGGGGUGCGAGCGUUGUCCGGAGUCACUGGGCGUAAAGGGCGCGUAGGUGGUUUGAUAAGGGUGUGGUGAAAGUCCGGAGCUCAACUCCGGAUCUGCCGUGCCGACUGUCAAACUCGAGGGCUGUAGAGGCAGACGGAAUUCCGGGUGUAGCGGUGGAAUGCGUAGAGAUCCGGAGGAAGACCGGUGGCGAAGGCGGUCUGCUGGGCAGUUUCUGACACUGAGGCGCGACAGCGUGGGGAGCAAACAGG